GAUGAACGCUGGCGGCGUGCUUAACACAUGCAAGUCGAACGAAGCACUCUAUUUGAUUUCUUCGGAAUGAUUAUUUUGUGACUGAGUGGCGGACGGGUGAGUAACGCGUGGGUAACCUGCCUCAUACAGGGGGAUAACAGUUGGAAACGACUGCUAAUACCGCAUAAGCGCACAGGACCGCAUGGUCUGGUGUGAAAAACUCCGGUGGUAUGAGAUGGACCCGCGUCUGAUUAGCUAAGUUGGUGGGUAACGGCCUACCAAGGCGACGAUCAGUAGCCGACCUGACGAGGGUGACCGGCCAC
rnacentral:rRNA from 1 species